GACGAACGCUGGCGGCGUGCCUAAUACAUGCAAGUAGAACGCUGAAGGAGGAGCUUGCUUCUCUGGAUGAGUUGCGAACGGGUGAGUAACGCGUAGGUAACCUGCCUGGUAGCGGGGGAUAACUAUUGGAAACGAUAGCUAAUACCGCAUAAUAUUGACUAUUGCAUGAUAGUCAGUUGAAAGGUGCAAGUGCACCACUACCAGAUGGACCUGCGUUGUAUUAGCUAGUUGGUGGGGUAACGGCUCACCAAGGCGACGAUACAUAGCCGACCUGAGAGGGUGAUCGGCCACACUGGGACUGAGACACGGCCCAGACUCCUACGGGAGGCAGCAGUAGGGAAUCUUCGGCAAUGGACGGAAGUCUGACCGAGCAACGCCGCGUGAGUGAAGAAGGUUUUCGGAUCGUAAAGCUCUGUUGUAAGAGAAGAACGAGUGUGAGAGUGGAAAGUCACACUGUGACGUAUCUACCAGA
rnacentral:rRNA from 1 species